rnacentral:rRNA from 1 species
UACAGAGGGUGCAAGCGUUAAUCGGAAUUACUGGGCGUAAAGCGUGCGUAGACGGUUACAUAAGUCGGGUGUGAAAGCCCCGGGCUCAACCUGGGAAUUGCAUUCGAGACUGCGUAGCUAGGGUGCGGAAGAGGGAAGCGGAAUUUCCGGUGUAGCGGUGAAAUGCGUAGAUAUCAGAUAGAACACCAAUGGCGAAGGCAGUUACCUGGCUCAAAACUGACGCUAAAGCACGAAAGUGUGGGGAGCAAACAGG